CAUCCUUCCGGUAGGUGAACCUGCGGAAGGAUCAUUA
rnacentral:rRNA from 1 species